UACGGAGGGUGCGAGCGUUGUCCGGAAUCACUGGGCGUAAAGGGCGCGUAGGCGGUUCGUUAAGUUGCUGGUGAAAUCCCGGGGCUCAACUCCGGGGCUGCCAGUAAGACUGGCGAGCUAGAGCACGGUAGAGGCGGAUGGAAUUCCCGGUGUAGCGGUGGAAUGCGUAGAUAUCGGGAAGAAUACCGGUGGCGAAGGCGUUCCGCUGGGCCGUUGCUGACGCUGAGGCGCGACAGCGUGGGGAGCAAACAGGAUUAGAUACCCUGGUAGUCCACGCCGUAAACGAUGGACACUAGGCGUCGGGGGGAGCGACCCCCUCGGUGCCGUCGCUAACGCAGUAAGUGUCCCGCCUGGGGAGUACGGCCGCAAGGCUGAA
rnacentral:rRNA from 1 species